rnacentral:misc_RNA from 1 species
CCUAGAGUUGUAGGCUUUGCCUGCUAUCUCUUACCCAUGUCUUUUGAGUACCUUCGUUUCCUCGGCGGGUCCGCCCGCCGAUUGGACAAUUUAGAACCAUUUGCAGUUGCAAUCAGCGUCUGAAAAAACUUAAUAGUUA